UUCCCUUACUAUUUCUUCCCACUUAUCUCAGAUUCUCCUUCAUCUUCGUCUUAUGCAAGGUUGCAGAGACCUGCCAAUAUGACUUGAGAGGGAGCCAUCUUUCACGAAGAAUUCUGGAUGAGAUUGGUGAAUGUUCAUCUCUGCAGACCUUGUGAGUAAUGUUUGGCUUCGGGGUUGGAGACAUCUGCUGCUCGAUCUCACAUUUUCUUUCGUCGUGGCAGAGAUUUGUCUUUCAGUGAGACUUACGGGACAUACCGUUUUCAGUGUAAAAGUUAAAAGAACUGAAAACAUUGAUUUUGAAAAGCAAUCAACUAGUUGGACUGAUUCCAUCAACUUUGUCACAAAUUCCAAACUUGAAAAUCUUGUUUGUCUUGUAAUGCUGAGGCUGGCAUGACAACAAUUUGGUAGGGAGUCUCUCUUCCGAUAUCUGCCAAUUUACAGGCUUGUGGUAUUUUUGGACUUAUCCUACAACCAGCUUACCGGGUAGAUUUCGUUUAACCUUGUAUUUCUACAGGUGGCCACACUGUAUGUAGUCCUUAAUUUCCUUUCAUUUAUUCAGUUCAAAAAUAUCUUAAGGGUCUAUCCUGGUUAUGGUUUAGCUGAUAAAACCUGCAUUUUUAUGUUUCUGAAAUAGAUGAUCUCUGCAAGAGAAUAGACUCACUGGACAAAUUCAAUCUGUUGUUGGUCAGAUGCAUGCACUUGCUGUUUUUCAAUAGUUGAGAUAAUAUCAAGAUUCUGUUAUUACCUCAUGUUUCAUCUUUAUUGACCUGUUGAGUAUUUUAUAUUUACUGCAAAGAUCUUAGCUGCAACUCGUUAAGUGUGCCAAUUUCUUCAAUCUUGGGAAAUUUGACUUGCACAGAAAAAUUGUAAGUUUUGUUUUCUUAGUUUACCUUAUCGAUUAAAAAAUGUCGCCAAUGAUCAUUUGCCCGUACGACUUGGAAUGGCAUACCUUAAGCAGGUUGCGUAUUGUAUAACCAGUACGACUACUUUAUUCUUGUAGAUUCUUGCACAGUAACGAACUUACAGGAAACAUUCUACCCGGGUUAGGAAAAACAUGACUAGGCUCCAUCACUUGUGAGUACAAUUUUUUGACACUUUUAAGUGAAUCCAACAUCUGAUAACUACUACAUAGAAUUAAGUGUUUCUCCAAAUAAACACUUAAACUUUGCACUUUAAGGGAGUUGACCGAUAAUCAGCUAAGUGGAUGUAUACCCCCCCUGAACUUGGGAAGGUCACUGACUUGUAUGAUUUGUAAGUGUUUGUUGGUAAACUUGUGUGUUUCAAUCUAUCUUGAUUUAUGUAGACCUUCUUACAUCAAUGUAUCUUAUAAUAAUCUCUUCGGUGAUAUCCCCACUUGUAACAACUGCUCAAGGUUUCAUGUUUAUAGGUAUGGGAGAGUUCAUUUGUUGCAGUCGUGACAAGAAAACAUGUUUUUUAUAUUUGUUAAAUUUGACCACAGUUUCGUCUUUCUGCCAACUUUCUAGGAAAUCCCAGUCUUUGAGGUUAUUGGUUUGGUUCUGCAUGCAAGACAUCUCAUCCACCAGAGCGGCGCAAGUUCAACUAGAAAACCAAAGAUUUGUAUCGUACUUCAUUUUCUUCCCCUGGUUCCCCUGGUCAAGUAUUCUAGGGCUAAUAAAGAGUCCUCCCUUAUUAUGCAGUUACGUAUACCUCGCCAAAGCUCAUGAUUCUUCACGUGAACAUGGAAAUUCAUGUGUAUGAAAACAUCAUGAGUAUUAGAAGUAUUGUCUUAAAUGGUUAGCAUUGUUCCGAGAACAGUCCAUAUUCAUGCUUCACUUAAAGGUCGGAAGCGUCCGGAUUAUAGGGAUUUACUCAUCCUGGUUGAGAAGGAGCACAUCGGUUGACAGUAAUAUUUGUGACAUAACCGAUUUGAAAUUAUAAGGAAAUUCCUUACUGGCAUGUUUAUAUGUUAAAAUAAUUGGUGGUAGUUCAUCUUCCCUUUCACAAGGUUUUCCCAAACUGUUUCGCUUUUGUAAGCACCGGUGCAUAUUACCUUUCCAGCCGUCUUAUAAAAUAAAUUGAGUAUCUCACUAGUAUGGUCAUAUAACUUUCAAUGGGUACCGUAUUUGUGAGGGCACUAUAAAUUAUGAUGGAUAACCAAAUUUAAGAGUCGUAUAAAUUAAACUAGG